rnacentral:misc_RNA from 1 species
GGUUGGAUCAUUAAUAAAUUUUAUUAAAGGUAUAAUAAAAGUGUUUGAAAGAACCUUUUUUAUACUCUUUAACAAAUUUUGUGAAUUUUAUUAACGUUUUUUGGGUAGAUAAUCUUUUUUAAGGUGUUUUACCCAACAAAUUAUUUAAACUAAAUUUUUUAAAAAUGUCUUUAAAUGUUUUAUUACAAAAUUAAUUUAAAAACAACUUUUAACAACGGAUCUCUUGGCCCUCGCAACGAUGAAGAACGCAGCGAAAUGCGAUAAGUAAUGUGAAUUGCAAAAUUCCGUGAAUCAUCAAAUCUUUGAACGCACAUUGCGCUUCCUGGUAUUCCGGGGAGCAUAUCUGUUUGAGAAUCAGUAUUAAUAUCAAAAUUAGAAUUUAUUUUCUAAAUUUUGGACUUGAGGAUUUUACCUAUUUAAAAAGUAAUCCUUUAAUGAUAGUUAAAUGUUUUUUAAACUAGUUGUUGAUAAAAACUAAAGCAUGACCAAUGAGGGUUUACCCUCUAAAGAUUGCCUAUGGUUUUUAUUUACAAUUUUAACUAAUUUUUAAAACUAUUUAUUUAAUAUUAUACGAAAAAAAUUAAUAUUUUUUUUAAGACUUGAUCUCAAAUCAGAUAAGACUACCGCUGAACUUAAGCAUAUCAAUAAGCGGAGGAAAAGAAACUAACAAGGAUUCCCCUAGUAACGGCGAGUGAAGCGGGAAUAGCUCAAAUUUGAAAUCUCAUGCCUAUGGUAUGCGAAUUGUAGUUUGUAGAAGUGUUUUCGGAGGUAAAUCUAGUUAAAGUCCCUUGGAACAGGGCAUCAUAGAGGGUGAGAAUCCCGUCUUUGACUAGAAUCUUAUUUCUAUGUGAUACACUUUCGAAGAGUCAGGUUGUUUGGGAAUGCAGCCUAAAUGGGUGGUAAAUACCAUCUAAAGCUAAAUAUUGGCGAGAGACCGAUAGCGAACAAGUACCGUGAGGGAAAGAUGAAAAGAACUUUGAAAAGAGAGUUAAAUAGUACGUGAAAUUGUUAAAAGGGAAACGUUUGAAACCAGUCUUGUUUAAAGAAUCUCAAUUGAUUUAACAAAUCAACCCAUGUUUCUUUUAGCAGGUCAACAUCAAUUUGAUUUGAAGUAAAAAGAUAGUAGGAAGGUGACGUUAAUUUCGGUUAACGUGUUAUAGGCCUAUUAUCAUAUGUUUCGAAUUGGAUUGAGGAACGCAGUGCAGCCUUGGAUUUACCUGUUGCUAGCCCCAAAUUUAUUUUUGAACAACUUGUUGAUUAAAAGUAGACAAAGGCUAAUCGAUAGGAUAAAUCACAUCUGUGCUUUGGAUGUUGACAUAAUGGUUUUAAGCGACCCGUCUUGAAACACGGACCAAGGAGUCUAACACAUAUGCGAGUAUUUGGGUGGUAAACCCGGAAUGCGUAAUGAAAGUAUUAAGGUGGGAAAUUUGCACCAUCGACCGGUCUGGAUUUUUAAUGAUAGAUCUGAGUAAGAGCAUAUUUGUUAGGACCCGAAAGAUGGUGAACUAUGCCUGAAUAGGGUGAAGCCAGAGGAAACUCUGGUGGAAGCUCGUAGGGAUUCUGACGUGCAAAUCGAUCUUAAAAUUUGGGUAUAGGGGCGAAAGACUAAUCGAACCAUCUAGUAGCUGGUUCCCUC